UGCAUCGGCCGAGAAUUGAACCCGGGCCGCCCGUGUGGCAGGCAAGCAUUCUUCCACUGAACCACCAAUGC
rnacentral:tRNA from 1 species